ACAUGGACUUCAAUAUAUAGUACCUAUCUUUAUUGUUAUUAUCCAUCCACUCAUCAAGUAUAGUUCAUUGACUUUGGGUUGGACAAGCUAUUAACAUUAGAAUAACCUGAUAGAGAACAUUACUUAAUUUUUUAAAAUUAAGAAUGAUUCUUAUAUUUGUGAGCCAGCUUAUGUAAUUAGUUUUGGUUAAAUGGUUGAUAUC
rnacentral:lncRNA from 1 species